UACGUAGGGCGCAAGCGUUGUCCGGAAUUAUUGGGCGUAAAGAGCUCGUAGGCGGCCUGUCGCGUCUGCUGUGAAAUCCCGGGGCUCAACCCCGGGCCUGCAGUGGAUACGGGCUGGCUGGAGGCAGGCAGGGGAGAACGGAAUUCCUGGUGUAGCGGUGAAAUGCGCAGAUAUCAGGAGGAACACCGGUGGCGAAGGCGGUUCUCUGGGCAGUAACUGACGCUGAGGAGCGAAAGCGUGGGGAGCGAACAGG
rnacentral:rRNA from 1 species